CAGGUGGUGCAUGGUUGUCGUCAGCUCGUGUCGUGAGAUGUUGGGUUAAGUCCCGCAACGAGCGCAACCCUUGUCUUUAGUUGCCAUCAUUAAGUUGGGCACUCUAGAGAGACUGCCAGGGAUAACCUGGAGGAAGGUGGGGAUGACGUAAAAUCAUCAUGCCCCUUAUGCUUAGGGCUACACACGUGCUACAAUGGGUAGUACAGAGGGUUGCCAAGCCGUAAGGUGGAGCUAAUCCCUUAAAGCUACUCUCAGUUCGGAUUGUAGGCUGAAACUC
rnacentral:rRNA from 1 species